GCCCGGCUAGCUCAAUCGGUAGAGCGUGAGACUCUUAUUCAAAAGGUUCACAUCUCAAGGUUGUGGGUUCGACCCCCACGUCGGGCU